CAGCCGCCGCGGUAAUUCGUAGGGGGCGAGCGUUGUCCGGAAUUACUGGGCGUAAAGGGCGUGUAGGCGGCCUGUUAAGUCAGGGGUGAAAGACCGGGGCUCAACCCCGGGGGUGCCUCUGAAACUGGCGGGCUUGAGUGCUCUAGAGGGCAGUGGAAUUCCCGGUGUAGCAGUGAAAUGCGUAGAGAUCGGGAGGAACACCAGUGGCGAAGGCGGCUGCCUGGGGAGUCACUGACGCUGAGGCGCGAAAGCUAGGGGAGCAAACAGGAUUAGAUACCCUGGUAGUCCUAGCCGUAAACGAUGAGCGCUAUGUGUGAGGGGUAUCGACCCCCCUCGUGCAGUAGCUAACGCAUUAAGCGCUCCGCCUGGGGAGUACGGCCGCAAGGUUGAAACUUAAAGGAAUUGGCGGG
rnacentral:rRNA from 1 species